rnacentral:other from 2 species
CAUUCUCUGCCUUGAGCGACAGCGCGCAAAACAUUUCGCCUUGUCCCUUAAGAACGACACCGGGUUGGCAAUGUUGCCCGGCGAGCAUGUCCGCCACGCAGCGGAAAGCCCAACGGCAACCCAGCCAUCCCACUUGAACCCCGGGUUCAAGGUCGUUUCGCCGCAUCGCCACGGCGGAGAAUGU